UACGUAGGGGGCUAGCGUUAUCCGGAAUUACUGGGCGUAAAGGGUGCGUAGGUGGUUUCUUAAGUCAGAGGUGAAAGGCUACGGCUCAACCGUAGUAAGCCUUUGAAACUGGGGAACUUGAGUGCAGAGGAGGAGAGUGGAAUUCCUAGUGUAGCGGUGAAAUGCGUAGAUAUUAGGAGGAACACCAGUUGCGAAGGCGGCUCUCUGGACUGUAACUGACACUGAGGCACGAAAGCGUGGGGGGCAAACAGG
rnacentral:rRNA from 1 species